rnacentral:misc_RNA from 1 species
GGAAAGUGAUUCUUUCGGCCAAGAAGAAAUUUGAGUUGUCCGCCUUCAUACCAGAGAGUAGCGUUUUCAUUGGUAGUAAAUCAGGACAAGAAGAUAGUGAGAGGAAAGUGAUUCUUUCGGCCAAGAAGAAAUUUGAGUUGUCCGCCUUCAUACCAGAGAGUAGCGUUUUCAUUGGUAGUAAAUCAGGACNNNNNGAUGUCAAGUGCUUCAAAGAAGAGCACAAGAAGUGUAGGUAUCAAAUGAGGAACAGGAGG